GACGAACGCUGGCGGCGUGCUUAACACAUGCAAGUCGAACGGAAAGGCCCUGCUUUUGUGGGGUGCUCGAGUGGCGAACGGGUGAGUAACACGUGAGUAACCUGCCCUUGACUUUGGGAUAACUUCAGGAAACUGGGGCUAAUACCGGAUAGGAGCUCCUGAUGCAUGGUGGGGGUUGGAAAGUUUCGGCGGUUGGGGAUGGACUCGCGGCUUAUCAGCUUGUUGGUGGGGUAGUGGCUUACCAAGCCUUUGACGGGUAGCCGGCCUGAGAGGGUGACCGGCCACAUUGGGACUGAGAUACGGCCCAGACUCCUACGGGAGGCAGCAGUGGGGAAUAUUGCACAAUGGGCGGAAGCCUGAUGCAGCAACGCCGCGUGCGGGAUGACGGCCUUCGGGUUGUAAACCGCUUUCGCCUGUGACGAAGCGUGAGUGACGGUAAUGGGUAAAGAAGCACCGGCUAACUACGUG
rnacentral:rRNA from 1 species